UACGUAGGGGGCGAGCGUUGCCCGGAAUUAUUGGGCGUAAAGAGCUCGUAGGCGGUUCCUUAAGUCGAGUGUGAAAUCUCAGGGCUCAACUCUGAAACUGCACCUGAUACUGGGGAACUUGAGGCAGGUAGGGGAGAUCGGAAUUCCUGGUGUAGCGGUGAAAUGCGCAGAUAUCAGGAGGAACACCGGUGGCGAAGGCGGAUCUCUGGGCCUGUUCUGACGCUGAGGAGCGAAAGCGUGGGGAGCAAACAGG
rnacentral:rRNA from 1 species